rnacentral:rRNA from 1 species
GACGAACGCUGGCGGCGUGCUUAACACAUGCAAGUCGAACGGAAAGGCCCUGCUUUUGUGGGGUGCUCGAGUGGCGAACGGGUGAGUAACACGUGAGUAACCUUCCCUUGACUUUGGGAUAACUUCAGGAAACUGGGGCUAAUACCGGCUAGGAGCUCCUGCUGCAUGGUGGGGGUCGGAAAGUUUCGGCGGUUGGGGAUGGACUCGCGGCUUAUUAGCUUGUUGGUGGGGUAGUGGCUUACCAAGGCUUUGACGGGUAGCCGGCCUGAGAGGGUGACCGGCCACAUUGGGACUGAGAUACGGCCCAGACUCCUACGGGAGGCAGCAGUGGGGAAUAUUGCACAAUGGGCGGAAGCCUGAUGCAGCAACGCCGCGUGCGGGAUGACGGCCUUCGGGUUGUAAACCGCUUUCGCCUGUGACGAAGCGUGAGUGACGGUAAUGGGUAAAGAAGCACCGGCUAACUACGUG